UGUUCUUCUCCUCUCUCUCGCAGAGAAACUUUAGAGUUUUUAGAAUCUGUUUUGGUUCUUGCGGUUUGUGUGCUUGAUGUUUGCCGGAGAUUCAGGAGGCAAGGUUUAAUCAAAAAUACGGACGGACGAAAGGGAUUAGAAGGAAAUUUAAGAGGCAAAGUUGAUAACACUGAUUUAAGAUUCAGGAGACAAGGUUUAAUCAAAAUUUUGCAGAGGAAAGGAAUUAGCAGGAAAUUUAAAGGGGACAAAAUUUACAACAUUGAUUUAGGAGGCAAAGUCUAAUUUCAAAGAAGCUGCAGAGGAAGGGAAGAACAAGAUGCACGGGUCAUGGUCACGGAAGAACAAGGUAGGUAGGAGGCGAAGUUUAAUUUCAAAGACGAUGCAAAAGAAAAUUCAGAUGGGGGUUUAACUUGGUUUUCAUAUUGAGGAACUCACUAUGUCACAAGGUGGUGAUUGGGUUUGAUUCAUGGGAAGAUAUCAGUGGCAGCCCUUUGAAAAAGGAAGGUGAUUUACUACUCUGUAAGAUAUGGUGAUAUAAUUCACCAAUUUUCACCUAGGGAUUGAAUAACUACCCAUCAUCCCUUAACUGAAACAUAAUAAAGAGCGAAAGUGGUGAAAUGUGUAUAUAUCGAAUAUCUUCAGCAUGUCCCAGUAUUGCGCCCUUGCUUAUAUGGAGAAGCGUACAUAUUCUUUAUUAAUCAGUAAUCUCAAGAACUUUUCAUUUUCUCGUAGCAGUCUGAGCUCGACCAUACAUUUACAACUGGCGUAAUCAGUUGUCCUUCAAUUCGUGUAACAACGGUUCCAGGCCCCGGGUAGCUUGGAGCAUUUUCAGUAUUUACCCGUACAAAUCACAAACAUUGUAGCAUACUUUGGAAUCGCAGAACAAAAAGACUAAUGGCGGUAUAUUCCACUGUAUCAUACUAAUCACCAGUUGAGUUAUUAUUCGCGUAAUAUGUUACUUGAUUUGUAUUGGUAACAAGGGAGUGAAACCUCUAUGGAGAUGCAAGCAAAAGCAGAGCAUGAUACAAGCUCAAAAAGUAGUUAGCAAACCAAUUUUUUGGUGUUUUGUAAUUUUUAUUGGGCUAUGGUACCUAAUCUUUAGCGUUUAGAAAACCAAAUCUUUGAUGGUCGAAUUUCUGAUAAUUGUGGUUCCUGA